rnacentral:rRNA from 1 species
GACGAACGCUGGCGGCGUGCUUAACACAUGCAAGUCGAACGGUAAGGCCCUUCGGGGUACACGAGUGGCGAACGGGUGAGUAACACGUGGGUGAUCUGCCCUGCACUUCGGGAUAAGCCUGGGAAACUGGGUCUAAUACCGGAUAGGACCCUGGGAUGCAUGUCCUGGGGUGGAAAGCUUUUGUGGUGUGGGAUGGGCCCGCGGCCUAUCAGCUUGUUGGUGGGGUGAUGGCCUACCAAGGCGACGACGGGUAGCCGGCCUGAGAGGGUGACCGGCCACACUGGGACUGAGAUACGGCCCAGACUCCUACGGGAGGCAGCAGUGGGGAAUAUUGCACAAUGGGCGCAAGCCUGACGCAGCGACGCCGCGUGAGGGAUGACGGCCUUCGGGUUGUAAACCUCUUUCAGCACCGACGAAGCGCAAGUGACGGUAGGUGCAGAAGAAGGACCGGCCAACUACGUGCCAGCAGCCGCAGUAA